GGAUCGAUGAUGAUUCAAAUCAAACAUUCCUUGGAAAUCUGAACAAAAUGAGUGAAAGCUCAAUACGCCUCUCUCAUCGGGACUGAGGUCC
ensembl:snoRNA SNORD116 Small nucleolar RNA SNORD116